rnacentral:rRNA from 1 species
UACGUAUGGAGCAAGCGUUAUCCGGAUUUACUGGGUGUAAAGGGAGCGCAGGGGGCUUUGCAAGUCUGAUGCGAAAGGCCGGGGCUCAACCCCGGGACUGCAUUGGAAACUGUAAAGCUAGAGUGCCGGAGAGGUAAGCGGAAUUCCUAGUGUAGCGGUGAAAUGCGUAGAUAUUAGGAGGAACACCAGUGGCGAAGGCGGCUUACUGGACGGCAACUGACGCUGAGGCUCGAAAGCGUGGGGAGCAAACAGG